CGUCCGGACUCUUACUGGGGUCAGACAUCAGACUCCUCUCAAGUGGAUAACUAACCACCAGACAUUCUAGCCGAACUUCAGCAGACAGGUCUGCACUCCCUAGCGCGACACAGCAAUAGCCACGAUCCUGCUCCACUUCCUGCGAUGGAUUCUGUGCAGCUCCAUUAUUUCCUGACAGACCGCUAUGACGGCCACGACCCUGCUCCACUUCCUGCGACGGAUCCCGCGUGGCUCCACUAUUCCCUGGCAGACCGCUAUGAUGCCCACGAUCCUGCUCCACCUCCUGUAACGGAUACUACGUGAUUCUUCCAUCCUCUGGCAAGUUGCGACAAUGGACGCCGCUCCACUCCCUGCAGCAGACUCCACGUGGCGUGCUACAGUGAGGGCCACGGGUCCACUCGACUACUCCUCGUAACAAAUUCCUCCUGACUGUGGCCGACCCACUACUAGACGAUUAUGAACGUCGCUAUCAGUCUGUUUCGCCCUCCGUCUAUAAAAGGGGGGACCCCAGAUACGUUACUCUAUAAGCUCCAUUUACCAUCUCAAAACUCUGCUAAAAAAAUUUUCGUUCUAGCACUCCAUUCUUGUUGAGGC
rnacentral:lncRNA from 1 species